rnacentral:misc_RNA from 1 species
AACGCACAUUGCACCCUCUGGUAUUCCAGGGGGUAUGCCUGUUCGAGCGUCAUUGCAACCCUCAAGCACUGCUUGGUAUUGGAUUUCAUCACUAUGGUGUGUCUCAAAAGUAUUGGCAGUAGCAACUUAGCUUCUAGCAUAGUAAAUUUCUUGCUUUGGAGCUUAGCUGUCUAACUACCUAGAACUUCUAAUUUAUCAAAGGUUGACCUCGGAUCAGGUAGGGAUACCCGCUGAACUUAA